AUGAACGCUAGCUACAGGCUUAACACAUGCAAGUCGAGGGGCAUCAGUUUGGUUUGCUUGCAAACCAAAGCUGGCGACCGGCGCACGGGUGAGUAACACGUAUCCAACCUGCCUCAUACUCGGGGAUAGCCUUUCGAAAGAAAGAUUAAUAUCCGAUAGCAUAUAUUUCCCGCAUGGGUUUUAUAUUAAAGAAAUUCGGUAUGAGAUGGGGAUGCGUUCCAUUAGUUUGUUGGCGGGGUAACGGCCCACCAAGACUACGAUGGAUAGGGGUUCUGAGAGGAAGGUCCCCCACAUUGGAACUGAGACACGGUCCAAACUCCUACGGGAGGCAGCAGUGAGGAAUAUUGGUCAAUGGACGCGAGUCUGAACCAGCCAAGUAGCGUGAAGGAUGACUGCCCUAUGGGUUGUAAACUUCUUUUAUAUGGGAAUAAAGUGGUCCACGUGUGGAUUUUUGUAUGUACCAUAUGAAUAAGGAUCGGCUAACUCCGUGCCAGCAGCCGCGGUAAUACGGAGGAUCCGAGCGUUAUCCGGAUUUAUUGGGUUUAAAGGGAGCGUAGGCGGAUUGUUAAGUCAGUUGUGAAAGUUUGCGGCUCAACCGUAAAAUUGCAGUUGAUACUGGCAGUCUUGAGUGCAGUAGAGGUGGGCGGAAUUCGUGGUGUAGCGGUGAAAUGCUUAGAUAUCACGAAGAACUCCGAUUGCGAAGGCAGCUCACUGGAGUGUAACUGACGCUGAUGCUCGAAAGUGUGGGUAUCAAACAGGAUUAGAUACCCUGGUAGUCCACACAGUAAACGAUGAAUACUCGCUGUUUGCGAUAUACAGUAAGCGGCCAAGCGAAAGCAUUAAGUAUUCCACCUGGGGAGUACGCCGGCAACGGUGAAACUCAAAGGAAUUGACGGGGCCCGCACAAGCAGUGGAGUAUGUGGUUUAAUUCGACGCAACGCGAAGAACCUUACCAAAUCUUGACAUCCCUCUGACCGGGACUUAACCGUCCCUUUCCUUCGGGACAGGGGAGACAGGUGGUGCAUGGUUGUCGUCAGCUCGUGCCGUGAGGUGUCGGCUUAAGUGCCAUAACGAGCGCAACCCUUAUCUUCAGUUACUAACAGGUCAUGCUGAGGACUCUGGAGAGACUGCCGUCGUAAGAUGUGAGGAAGGUGGGGAUGACGUCAAAUCAGCACGGCCCUUACGUCCGGGGCUACACACGUGUUACAAUGGGGGGUACAGAAGGCCGCUACCUGGUGACAGGAUGCCAAUCCCAAAAACCUCUCUCAGUUCGGAUCGAAGUCUGCAACCCGACUUCGUGAAGCUGGAUUCGCUAGUAAUCGCGCAUCAGCCAUGGCGCGGUGAAUACGUUCCCGGGCCUUGUACACACCGCCCGUCAAGCCAUGAAAGCCGGGGGUACCUGAAGUACGUAACCGCAAGGAGCGUCCUAGGGUAAAACUGGUAAUUGGGGCU
rnacentral:rRNA from 1 species